rnacentral:rRNA from 1 species
UACAGAGACUGCAAGCGUUAUUCGGAUUCACUGGGCGUAAAGGGUGCGCAGGCGGCCAAGUGUGUCAGGUGUGAAAUCCCGAGCUUAACCUCGGAACUGCGCCUGAAACUACUUGGCUAGAGUACUGGAGAGGGUAACGGAAUUCACGGUGUAGCAGUGAAAUUCGUAGAUAUCGGGAGGAACACCAGUGGCGAAGGCGGAGACCUGGGCCGAUACUGACGCUGAGGUGCGAAAGCGUGGGGAGCAAACAGG